UACAUUGAUGUCCAGGGAAAUACUCGUCAUCACAUUUAUAACAGGGCUUGGAAUGAGAUCUAGAAUUUGAGUUGUUUUGAACAAUAGGUUUGGUAAGGUUAGUAUUGGAAUUUUGGUUAACAGAAGAAGUACUUCCAGCAGAAGUUGGUUUACUGGUAGUAUGAGCAGAGUUUAGGGUUUUACUAGUCAGAUCUGGAUUUGGUUGUUUAGGGGGAUACGGAAACAUUUGAGUAGGUUUGGAGUAGGCAUUAUAAGUAGUGAAAUUGGAUGGCAAAUCUAUGGUUGUAAUUGAAGGUUUUAUUGA
rnacentral:misc_RNA from 1 species